GACGGACGCUGGCGGCGUGCUUAACACAUGCAAGUCGAACGGAAAGGCCCCAGCUUGCUGGGGUACUCGAGUGGCGAACGGGUGAGUAACACGUGGGUGAUCUGCCCUGCACUCUGGGAUAAGCCUGGGAAACUGGGUCUAAUACCGGAUAGGACCGUGCUUUACUGUGUGCGGUGGAAAGUUUUUCGGUGCAGGAUGGGCCCGCGGCCUAUCAGCUUGUUGGUGGGGUAAUGGCCUACCAAGGCGGCGACGGGUAGCCGGCCUGAGAGGCUGUACGGCCACAUGGGGACUGAGACACGGCCCAGACGCCUACGGGAGGCAGCAGGGGGGAAUAUUGCACAAUGGGGGCAAGCCUGAUGCAGCGACGCCGCGUGGGUGAUGACGGCCUUCGGGUUGUAAACACCUUUCGGCAGGGACGAAGCUUUUGUGACGGUACCUGCAUAAGAAGCACCGGCUAACUACGUG
rnacentral:rRNA from 1 species